rnacentral:lncRNA from 1 species
AUCCAUACUAUUUUCCCACCCUCUUUUCCUCUUGUUUAACUCUUCUUUGCUUUUGUUGGGGCUUUACUGGUUGUAGCGGAGGCAGCACCUUUUUUGGUUCUUGUGUUUGCUGUGUCUUUCAGGUAAUAUGCGGUGGCUACUUGAGACGAGCGAGGAGUGGCGAGCAUUAUAGGAAGGCUGCUAGGUGUUACAUCAGUGUCAUUUACACCAGAGACAACUUCCAGGCUGUCACGAUCCAGAUUUUCC